AAAUAGGCCCAAUUGGCCAGGGUGUGCAAGGUCGCGGAAAUAAUCUGAUAGUCCCUUCUCCUUCGACAAUCCUCUUUGAAAUCCCAUUUCAGUAGCCCUAGACUCCGACGAUCCUACACCUUCAAAUUAAGUAGCAGAUUGCAUAUUCAUGUGGUGAUCACUCUUCACAAAAUCGUCAUUGUCGCUCCUCUGUUACCUUUAGGAGGAGUGGAAAGAGAGGCAUAAGGAAACUUCGGAAGAUAUAUCUUCAAAAUUCUUCAAUUCGCGAUUUGUCCCACUUGAGAUUGCAAAUUAUAUUUACAAAAUUUUGAUGCAAAAUAUUGUGGGAAUUUAGCACAGAACUGGGAGCUGAUCAAGAAUGGUGAUCUUGAUUAAUAAUGCAGGUCAAAAGAUUUUGAGGUUUUACAGGUUUUAAGGAAGAUAUCCAAAUUUAUUUCUGAUUUUCCUGUAGCAGCGUUUGAUCGUGUACCACUUUCAUAUUUAUCAGCUAAUUUCACUUUCAACACUGUUAACUACGGAGGAAAAAUCCGGGACUUGCUUUUCCAAAUACUUGAACAAGAAGAGGAUGUCAUGAUAAAACAAGGUGCACAAUCUAGAGAGAGUCGACUAAUGGCUUCUAGUGGUUUAAUGAUCACCUGGAUUUCAUCCAAAGAGCAUGUUUAAAUCUUUUUUGACUGAUUGUGAAGGAAUGGACAAUACCAAUCAGGAGAAGCAUUUAAUGCAUCAUCUUGCGACAGAUUUUAUAAUAGUAAAACCUUAUUUGGUAAGAUCAUUGGAUGGAAAUUUAUUGAUAGAGGGAUCCUUAUUCUUUUAAAAAAAAUUAUGAUAUAGGAAAGUGAUUGGAGCCAGGUAUUAUUUGAGUGGCUAUGAAGCUGAAGAAGAUCUGAUAACGUCUGUGUCAUUGAAAUCCCCUAGGGACAGUUCUGGUCAUGGCAGCCACACAGCCCCAACAGCAGCAGGCCGGUAUGUGACAAACAUGAAUUAUAAGGGCUUGGCAGCUGGAGGCGCUAGAGAAGGUGCUCCAAUGGCAAGGAUUGCAGUGUACAAGACUUGUUGGGACUCAGGGAGAUUAUUUUAAUGAUGCCAUCUCCUUGGGGUCAUUGCAUGCUGCUAGCCAUGGGGUAGUGGUAGUUGCUUCAGUUGGAAAUGAAGGAAAUUAAGGUUCAGCAACAAACCUUGCUCCAUGGAUGAUCACUGUUGCUGCUAGUUCAACAGAUAGGGAUUUUAUAUCUGAUAUCGUAUUAGGAGAUGGUGCUAAUUUCAAUGGUGAAAGUCUGAGUCUGUUUGAAAUGAAUGCCUCCACAAGCAUCAUCUCUGCUUCAGAAGCCUAUGCAGGAUACUUCACUCCCUAUCAAUCCAGCUACUGUUUGGAGAGUUCCUUGAAUAAUACUAAAGCCAGACGGAAGAUUUUGGUAUGCCAACAUGCUGAAAGUUCAACAGAUUCCAAGCUGGCAAAGAGUGCAGUAGUCAGAGAAGCUGGUGGAGUUGGAAGGAGCACGGGGGACAGGAUUCUAUCCUAUAUUAAUCAUACAAGGUUUUUUUCUACUCUUUGACGAUGAAGAUUCGGUGUGAGAUAAUUGAAUUACUUUGUGUUUCUCAUUUAAGGCUAUUCCAUUUACAUGAAUAGCAAACCGGUUUCUAGAAUUUUCCCUGCAAAAACUGUAUUGGGAUCUCAUCCUCCUGCUCCUCGAGUUGCAGCAUUUUCUUCAAAAGGUCUCAAUGCCUUAAUCCCAGAAAUUUGUAAGGUAUAUUCCUACUAAAGAUCAUCAAAUUUUAUGUGGGCUGCUCCUUUAAUUACUUGUUUUUAAUUUUA